AUACCCGUAUUGUCAUAGUUUCAUAAUUUAUGAUUUUUUGAAGCCUUUCUGGUUGCUGUGUUGAACAGAGUUUUGUGUGUUUUAAAAAAAAUAAAUAUGUGUAAUGUGAAUAUUAAGUUUUGUCUUUCAGUUCUUAAUACUAAAAAUACAAUUAUGAUAAUCAUGAUUUAAAUUCAUUAAAUAAUUUUAAGUCACUUUAGUUAAAUCAUCUUCUGUGUUCAAUAAGGUGUACUGUGAUGUUUUACAUGAAAAAAGGUUCAUUUUCAGUGGUUAGAGGUUUGUUCAGAGUGCAGGAGGUUUUUGUACGGCCACUUAAUGAGUUUGUAUCACUGUGGUACACUUUUGGUGGAGGAACCAAACUCAUCGUUGGCUCGGGUGUGGUGAGACCCACCCUCACAGUCCUCCCUCCAUCCAAAGAGGAAGACAAACAGAGUAGUGCCACUGUGGUGUGUCUGGCCACCGGGGGCUUCCCCUCAAACUGGAAGCUGGGCUGGACGGUGGGGGGCACCAGCACAUCCUCAGGGGUUUCAACCAGCCUGGAGGUCUUGGGGACAGACGGCCGCUACAGCUGGAGCAGCACCCUGAGCCUCUCUGCAGACCAGUGGAGGAAGGCGGGCUCAGUGAGCUGUGAGGCCAGCCUGAGUGGACAGAGCCCCGUCACUCAAACCCUGGACCCUGACCACUGCUCAGAGUAGAGCUUCAGCAACACUUCCUGUCUGCAUAUGAUGUGUUUUAUAGUUUGAUGAAGCUACAUGUUUAUUUUUUUGCGAUAUUUCUGCAAACAUUUCACUCUGUAUUGAUUUGCAUGGUAAUUUGAUCAGCUAAUAUUAUCCAUGUUGUUCUUUCAAACCGUGCUGUAAAAAAAAAA